UACGAACUGUGCAAACGUUAUUCGGAAUCACUGGGCUUAAAGGGUGCGUAGGCGGACUUGUAGGUCAGAUGUGAAAUCCCACGGCUCAACCGUGGAAUUGCGUUUGAAACCACUCGUCUUGAGGGGAUCAGAGGAGAGCGGAACUGAUGGUGGAGCGGUGAAAUGCGUUGAUAUUAUCAGGAACACCGGUGGCGAAAGCG
rnacentral:rRNA from 1 species